CUACCAUUCCUUGCAUCAUUCGUAUGUAUUUUCUUAUGCUUAUAAACUUUUUAUAAUUUCAUAAUUUUUCUCAUUCUAACUUUUUUGUCUGUUGGUUCUAAUAUAAUGGUGUCAAUUCUCUAAUGAAAUAUGUAGAUUCUAAUUUUAUUAUGUGUAGCUACCGAUAAAAGCAAAUUGUUCCAAGUCCGUGACAUUGGUGUGUGAAGUGUGAACUUUCAUCAUUCU
rnacentral:lncRNA from 1 species